UGGGGAAUUUUGGACAAUGGGCGCAAGCCUGAUCCAGCCAUGCCGCGUGAGUGAAGAAGGCCUUCGGGUUGUAAAGCUCUUUCGGCGGGGACGAAACGGUUCGUGACAACACCACGGACUAAUGACGGUACCCGCAUAAGAAGCACCGGCUAACUACGUGCCAGCAGCCGCGGUAAUACGUAGGGUGCAGGCGUUAAUCGGAAUUACUGGGCGUAAAGGGUGCGCAGGCGGUUUGUUAAGACAGGUGUGAAAUCCCCGGGCUUAACCUGGGAAUUGCGCUUGUAACUGGCAGGCUAGAGUGUGGCAGAGGGGGGUGGAAUUCCACGUGUAGCAGUGAAAUGCGUAGAUAUGUGGAGGAACACCGAUGGCGAAGGCAGCCCCCUGGGUCAACACUGACGCUCAUGCACGAAAGCGUGGGGAGCAAACAGGAUUAGAUACCCUCGUAGUCCCUGAGCGGGCUGGCAAGGCGCAU
rnacentral:rRNA from 1 species